rnacentral:tRNA from 2 species
GCAUAGCUCAGCGGUAGAGUAGGUGGCUGUUAACCACUUGGUCGUAGGUUCGAAUCCUACUGC